rnacentral:rRNA from 1 species
GAUGAACGCUGGCGGCGUGCCUAAUACAUGCAAGUCGAGCGAACAGACGAGGAGCUUGCUCCUCUGACGUUAGCGGCGGACGGGUGAGUAACACGUGGAUAACCUACCUAUAAGACUGGGAUAACUUCGGGAAACCGGAGCUAAUACCGGAUAAUAUAUUGAACCGCAUGGUUCAAUAGUGAAAUACGGUUUUGCUGUCACUUAUAGAUGGAUCCGCGCCGCAUUAGCUAGUUGGUAAGGUAACGGCUUACCAAGGCGACGAUGCGUAGCCGACCUGGGAGGGUGAUCGGCGACCCGAGAACUUGAACACGGUCCAGACUCCUGCGGGAGGCAGCAGUAGGGAAUCUUCCGCAAUGGGCGAAAGCCUGACGGAGCAACGCCGCGUGAGUGAUGAAGGUCUUCGGAUCGUAAAACUCUGUUAUUAGGGAAGAACAAAUGUGUAAGGAACUAUGCACGUCUUGACGGUACCUAAUCAGAAAGCCACGGCUAACUACGUG